GGUUGUGGCUCAAUGGCAGAGCUCUCGCUUAGCAUGUGUGAGGCACUGGGUUCGAUCCUCAGCACCA
rnacentral:tRNA from 1 species